UUAACUAUUAUAUAGUACUCAGACGACAUUAAUAUUCAGAGUUUUGGGUCCUCUGGCGAGCACUCACCAGCAAAAGCCGGUGGCCGAGGCGGCUCGCCAAAGCAACAAAGGUUAUAAUAACAAAGGGUUGGAGAUACACCCGUGAGGGCGAUGUUCUCUGUAAUGAUCCCUCCGCAGGUUCACCUACGGAGA
rnacentral:misc_RNA from 1 species